AGAAGAAACUCGGCUGAGACUCAGUCCCAUCUCUUCAUACAUAAAUAACAGAAAGAAGGGUGAUGCACCCUUUGGUUAUAGCUUUCCUGCUCCUGUUUGUACUGCAGUAUGUUGGAUCUGUUUUUGAAUCAGGUCAUCCAACUUUGUCUUUUCCUUAGCUUUACAAAUCAGAUAAAUAAGAAUUAUGCCCUCAAAUUUUUUGGCCUAAUUUAAAUUUAUAUGGACUGAUGCUCAUAUCAUGUGUGAGUCCAGGAUUUCUACUCAUGGUAUUACUGAAAAAUAAAACUUAAAUCCUUAAAAAACUUUACAUUAUGUUGCUCUUAAUUUAAAACUAACACUUGUCUAGUGUUUGACACCAGGAGGACUUCAAUUCAUGGAAUUACUGGUAAAUGCCUCUUCCAAAAAUCAAUGUUUAAAGAUACUGAAGAGAGUUACUGGUUUCUUACCGGACAGAAGGAUGUCAGCAUUUUGAUUCCAGAAUUCAGUCUGCCAAACUUUUAAUAGAGAGGUGGCAACAGAGGCGAACUCAAGCGAUUAUUUGUGCUUGGAUUUGUUGAUAGUUGGUGGCAGAAAAUGUUGUACCGAAUAGUUUCUGUUAGAUACUUAGAUGGGUUCAAGGGUAUUCUCAACUAGGUUAGUCAAAUUUAUAAAGCUGUGUUCAUGCAACCCCAUGAACACUGUAAGCAUUGAUGGGUAAGCUUAUUAAAAAUAAAUGGGCAUAUAUACUUGUAUCAUUGUUUUUACAUGCAAAAGCAAUUUGUCACCUCAUAUGUACCAACAUAUGCUUAUUGUUCAAGUUAUUACAUUCAUUUAUUUUUUA